UUUGUGUCGCGCGCCGGCCAGACCGCCCAAGAGGCGGCGGCUAUUGUUCCCCGCCGGGGCCCGGGGUGCCCUGAAACGGGGUCCACGCCAGCCCCAUCCCCAGCGUGUCCUCAGGUCCAAGGACGGCGCUGUAAACAAUGGAGCCAUCAAAAGGCAUUCUACCAGCCUCCUCACCAACCACGGACAUUCCUGGCCCAACAAGCCCUCCUGGCCUGGUUUUGAGCCCUGCUUCACAGAUCUGGGGGCCCUUCACCUGCCUCUGCUACUGCAAAUGAUUGGAUAUUCAUCUGCCUUGGCUUUUCCCUCAUGUGUGGAAAUAGUUUUGUCCACUCUGUUUCAUGCUGGACCUGGCCUGAAAAUGGGUCCUUAUGUUGUCUUUGCACUCUCCAACUUGCCAAGUUUCUGAAAGAAGGACCAAAGUAAUGCCAAGAACUCCCAGAUGAGGAGGACCUUCCUUAGACCUGUAACAGAUUCACUACUUGACUUCAGAGGGAAGUUUCAGCUAAUUCUCAGGAAAAGGUCAAAACAGGCCUGUGACUGUCCCUCCAAUACUGAAGCUGGCCAUUCUGGCUGCCUCACAGCUAUCCUGCCUUAAUUCACAUUUGAUUGCCUGGAAAGAACCACCAAGAAUGUCCAGACGACUGCCACCCCUCACCCAUGGGCCUGAGAUCCUGCCCUGAUGCCUUUCUUCAGACCCCACGAGGACCCACAAUCUCCCUGAUCCCCACCUUCCCCAGAGUGGUCUCUAUAGGAAAAAAGAGCUGGCUAAGGCCUGAGACAGAACCAUUUCUUCCCCUUGGGGAAACGAGGUAGACCCUCCCAGAGACCAAUACCGGAGAGGCCCGGCCCGGAUCUCCCUUUAUAUGGCCUCCCCCAUCACGGAACCCGUGGGAAAACCUGGCACACAAUGGCGCGGCUGCUCCGGGCACCCUCAACCCAGCACCCUACGGCAAGGCCUGAAGCAGCCUGGUGGUGCGCUCCCUUUGCCCGCUCCCCAACCCUCCGCGAGCACCCGUCCCAGGAGAGAGACCCUGGCUAGGGUGGAAGUUGCCCCCCGCAAAGGGCGCUGUUGCUGGGGCUUCCCCUCCCCCCAUUCUCUUGUUUUUCUGCUGCUGAGACUCGGAAGGGAGGCGGCAGGCGCCUCCGCAGCCGAUAGAGCAGCUAUUGUGACCUUCCCUUGCGGAGCGGGAACCCAGCCGAGUGUGCCGGCGGUGGCGGGGAAGGAGGCGACUGUGUGUGCAAACCUCAGUCGCAGAGGGGGUGGCACUGGGAAAUAAAGGUUUGCAACCUCA